rnacentral:rRNA from 1 species
UACGGGGGGAGCAAGCGUUGUUCGGAUUUACUGGGCGUAAAGGCGCGUAGGCGGCGUGACAAGUCACUUGUGAAAUCUCCGGGCUUAACUCGGAACGGUCAAGUGAUACUGUCGGACUAGAGUACAGAAGGGGCAACUGGAAUUCUCGGUGUAGCGGUGAAAUGCGUAGAUAUCGAGAGGAACACCUGCGGCGAAGGCGGGUUGCUGGGCUGACACUGACGCUGAGGCGCGAAAGCGUGGGGAGCGAACAGG